GGACUGGUUAGCUCAGUCAGUUGAGCAUGGAGCUGACAACCCCAAGGUUGCGGAUUCAAUUCCCCUUCGGUCCC
rfam:Apaloderma vittatum contig43322, whole genome shotgun sequence.